UAAUAAAAAGUAUUAACUUUCUUUGUUAUAUUUAUAAGAUUCUUGAUUGUCAUCUAUGUAUAUUUAUUACUAUUAUAUUUUUAUUAAUAAAUCUUAGUCAAAUCUUAAAAAAUCCUAAUCAAAUCUUAAUCAAAUUUUAACCAAUUUUUCGUCAAAUCCUAAACAAACCUUAACCAAAUCCUAGUCAAAUCUUAAACAAAUUUUUAAAAAAUUCUAAUCAAACCUUAAAUAAAUCCUAGUCAAAUCCUAAAUAAAUCCUAAUCAAAUCCUAAUUAAAUCUCAACCAAAUCCUUAAUAAAUCCUAGUCAAAUCCUAAAUAAAUCCUAACCAAAUUCUGAAUAAAUCUUAGUCAAAUCCUAAAAAAAUCCUAAUCAAAUCCUGAAUAAAUCUUAGUCAAAUUUAAAAUAAAUCCUAAUCAAACCUUUAUCAAAUCCUAAAAAAUUCCAAUAAAUCUUAGUCAAAUCCUAAACAAACCUUAAUAAAAUCCUAGUCAAAUCCUAACAAAUCUUAACAAAUCCUAAAUAAAUCUUAAUCAAAUCCUAACAAAUCUUAAUCAAAUCUUAAUCAAAUCAUAAAUAAAUCUUAAUCAAAUCUUAAUAAAAUCCUAAUCAAAUCUUAACCAAAUUUAAGUUAAAUCCUAAAUAAAUCUUAAACAAAUCUUAAACAAAUCCCAAUCAAAUCCUAAAUAAAUCCUAAAUAAAUCUUAGUCAAAUCCUAACAAAUCUUAGUUAGAUCCUAAACAAAUUUUAAUCAAAUCUUACUCAAACCUUAACAAAUCCUUAUCAAAUAUUAAUUAAAUACUAAUCAAAUCCUAAAUAAAUCCUAACCAAAUUCUAAACAAAUUCUAACCAAACCCUAAAUAAUCUCAAGUAAUUUCUAUAGUAGGUUUAAACCUCAAUGACUAAUGAAUGAAUUAUUGAUUUUAACUCAAAUUUUGCAUACCUCUUCACAAUUAAUUUAACAAGAAGCAAAAUUUUUUUGAAGAAGAUCAAACUCAAUAAAAAAAAAAGAUCAAUCCUAAUAUUUCCUCAAGUGUUGGCUAGCCUCCUUCUUCAAUCUAAAUGUUGAAUUUCCAACAUCAAUAUCUUCUUAUCAAACUAUUUGAUUGAUCUCGAAUUUCUCUCAUAUAUAGGAAAAUAAGUCUAUUACUUAAAUACAUAAUUUUCACUCCAAUCUAAUUAAUAAAUUACAAGAAAUCUUAGAAACUCUCAUUAGAACUAAAACUCUACUUCUAAAGAUCCUGACCCACUUAUACCUCAAUUAUCCUUGAUCCAACUCUUUGAUCAAGGUCAAACUCAUAGCAUAUAUUGAACACAUAUAUAUCUACAAACCCUCAAAAUUUCACUUACAGAUCUACUCUCAAACUUAUGAAACCCUCCAAAAAUUAUCACCGACUUUAAUUU
rnacentral:lncRNA from 1 species